ensembl:lncRNA
UGUUGAUACAAAGGUUAGAUCUGGCUUCAAAAAUGGCAAAGUAUCUUUACGUAAAGCCCAAAUACGUCAGUGUUCAUACACUACUCCUUUCUAAGACCUUGCAGAACUCAAAUCAAAAUGUUUAUUUAAACCUGUUCCUUCACUUCAGAAAACCAAAAAAAGAAAUACAACAAAAUUGAAACUGCAACACCUCAGUUGGAUCUUUUUCCGUGAUGGUCAGGCAUGAAGGCUGUUUCCAACAUUUUUACAAGAAACCAGAGCUCUUAGCUUAUCUUGGUAACAUAGUAUAUUUCCAUGAAAAUCUGCAGCCACCAUAAAUUUUGUUUUAUAUUUGUGUUCUCUGUUUGUCUAUGUAUAUAUGUCAAGCUUCACACAGUAGCUGAAAAUAUUCUGCAGGUAUGUUGUAUGGGAGUUGUGUGAACGCCUGAAUUAUGACCAAAUGGUCACCAUUCUGUGGUUAAAGUUGUUUUUUGUUUUCAGGAAAAAACUGUCUGGCUGAUCAAAAUUUUAAUUUUCAGCAUAGAACACUUAACAUUUUUAAAGAAACGAAGCAAAGCAGUUAAAAAUUAUCUUCCCAAGUUUAUCUUCUUAAGCUUACAAUUUUUGAGUUCUCUAGACCUGUAAGAAAUGGAUAAGUGGAAAAAUUAUCUGGGUUGUUGCUUGAGUUUUCAGUACAAACUGCAAAUGUGGGAUCUCUGACACGGUAGUGUCUUUUUAGAAUAUCCUGUAUUCAUCUACCCAAAAGAAGCAUCUUGCCAAUGAUAACCUUCAUAUCCCAUCUCAGAUCUGUCCCAAGAGGAUAGUCAUAAAUCAGCAGAUAUACAUAUGCAGAAUGCUUAACUUCCUAGUGUACAUGUCUUAGAUACAACACCAUGAAACUAGCUAGUGUUAUGUGGGCUUGUUUUAUCUAUCAUCUCUCUGAACUCUGAGCUCAUGGCUAUGGGGUUGAACAUCAUUCUGCAUGAAGUCUUGGUCUCUUUAAAACAACCAGCUAGAAUGCCAAAGUGUGCAUUGUCUAACUCUUCUCAAUGAAAAUCAUCUCAUUUGACCUUAAACAGUUGAGAUAUUUGGUCUUUCUAAUCUCAAUUAAUGAUGUAAAUCUGAUAACAACUGUCAAGCAAUCAAUAAUUACUACAAUAAGCUGCCACUGCAGCUAGCUGUGGGAGUGCAGGAGAUGCUGAAGUCUUUUGAUGGGACAGCAAAGACCAAAAGAGGUAAGUGCAUCUAUCUUAAGUCAAAAGCCCUUUAACAUUCUGUGGCUAGCUUCGCUUCUGAUAAAUAUCUUCGCUUUCAGAUAAAUAUCUGUAAAACUUAAUGCACUUCUGUUCACUAAAGCACUGUUAUAUUUGGCCUAGAGUUUUUCACAAACUGCUGAACUACCAGAGGAUAUUGCCCUCACACUGGAUUUUUACUGACAUGCUUUUGAGCUCACAUGCCUUAAGUUGUAAAACAUGUGAAGUGUAUUUUAUUAAAAAAGAAUGCCUAUGGUGUAGAAUGAAAGCAUUUGUCUUCUGAAUUCUGGCUCUCAUUCCACCAGUUCAGUCAUGAAAUGGUUAAGUGUUAUUUAUAGUUUUUGGAAAUUCUUUAAGGAUGAACACAUCUACUGAGAAAAACAAGUAGUCCUGGUGCUAGAGGGUAAUUUAUAUAAAUUUUAAUGUUAGGAGAAAACUGUGAUCUCAUACUACAGCCUAAAAACCUGUCCAUUCGUUACUACAUGGCAAUGGAAUUUGGUUGACAUAAUCUGAGGAAGCUGACUUUCAAAGUAUUCAGGUAGGUCAGAGCAGGGAAAGGCCCAGUUACAUGUCCUAAGAAAUUACAUCAUUUUUCUUUCUUCCACGCUUCUUUUUUUAAUACUAGAUGUACAGAAAUGAUCCAGAAGAUCCUGUAUAUUUUUCAGUGCAAUCCAUGGAGCCGCUAAUUCCACUAAAAAAAUUCAUUUCAACAGUGUUGGAAUAUGUCAUUUUACAGAAAGAAGAAACUCAGAUUUUCAUGUCAGUAUGAAGUUUGAAUAUUUAAUAUCUGUAGGAUCGUAUUUUUUUUUACACCACAAUUCAUUAUCUUUCAUUUAUCAUCAGAGUUUAUACAAAUGUUAUAUCACAUCUUCAAAUGAGCCUUUUAGAAAGCACUGACUACAUCUCACCAGAUGAAGGGAGAAGUGAGAGAACUCUCCACAUUGUUAAGUUGCAUAGGUAAAUUUAAUCUGAAGGACUGCACCCCAUGGAAAGGACCCACAGUUCCGGGAAAAAGUGUGCAGAAUAAGCAGCAUCAGCUGUUACGGAGUGAUCGCAGCUACCAUUCCUCACCCCACUCUAUGUCACUGAGGGGCAGCAGGAGGAGGAGUCAGGGAUGAAAGAGAGAAGCUGGGCCUGGGAGAAGGCUCAUGAUGGGAGAUGGUGUUUUAAUUUGUCAUGAUUAGUAAUAUGUAUUUGAUUAAUAAAUUCAUU